UGCGUAGGCGGCGCAAUAAGUCAGAGGUGAAAGCCUCCCGCUCAACGGGAGAACGGCCUUUGAUACUGUUGUGCUUGAAUCAGGUUGAGGACAGCGGAAUGUGGCAUGUAGCGGUGAAAUGCAUAGAUAUGCCAUAGAACACCAAUUGCGAAGGCAGCUGUCUGGGCCUGUAUUGACGCUGAGGCACGAAAGCGUGGGGAGCGAACAGGAUUAGAUACCCUGGUAGUCC
rnacentral:rRNA from 1 species